GUCUGGGAGCUCUGCCCCGGCCACCCCGGUGGUGGCCAGCGUAGGCACCCAGACAGAGCCGAGACAGCAACCUGCUACUGCAAGAGGCAAGUGAAAACCAAUCCAAGGAAGCAUUGACAAGUCAAAUAUCUUCAAUGAAACCUGUCCUGUGAGAUCCAAAAAGCAACUGUUUGUUUCUUUUGGCAUUCUACAAAAUAUACAAUAAGAAUAGAAAAACUUUCGAAGAUGUAAUCCAGUCAAAAACAAACAAACAAAAAAAAGUGGCUUCCAAGCACUAGAAGCUGUAAAUUGUGUCUCAUCCACUGUUUCUCAAAAGGAUUUGUUGCAGUAUCUGUUUUGUAAAUAACCCCUAGCAGACAGUGAUGUAGACAAGGAAUUGCAGAUUUAUUGCAAACUAUUUUCAAAGUGUACAACUGUUCCCUGCUAUAAUGGCCACUGUCAAGAUGUGACAGGCUAGCUCAUGUGAGCAGGAAGUAAAAUGGCAAAGGGUUCAAGUUACCUUAUCUGCUUUUCUAGAGUUAUAAAAAUUGCUUGCAGAUAAUAUUACUUGUGAAAAUAAAAUUUAACUGCUCGCUGUAUUUCAGAUGACAUGUGAACUUUGUUAGUGUAAAAAAAAAAAACUGGUGACAAUUUUAUGUUUAUUGCUAUGAAAUCUGUGAUUUUUAAACAUUAUCAAGCCAUUAUCUCUGAAAGCACCAUCUGUAAAAGUUACCUAGCCCCCCAGAAAGAUGAUUUUGCUGAUGUAGAAUUAGUCUUCCUGGUAAUUUUGCAGGCUUCCAUGUGUCUAGUAAAUAACAUGAUAGCCACACACAAACCUGAGUUUCUUAUGAAUCAUGUAUGCUGCACAUACAGUUACCUCUCCCCAAAAGAUUUACAUUUCUGCUAUUUUUAUAAGAUACUAAAGCUGGACCUUUCCUACAGACGUCAUAACCUGUCUUUUUAGGUUAAAGGUUUGUAAAGUAACAUUACCUAGCAUGUUCUUUUAAGAGACACAGGAAUACCAUCUAAAAUGGUAUAAAUUCAACAUAACUUCAAACAUUUUACUUACUGUUAUAAUGACAAACUUAUAUCAAACUUCACAUGGUGUUUAAAAAUAUGCUAAUAAUUUGAGGCAAGUUUUAUAACAUUUUAAGAGUGAAGUAUCAAUUCUCUUCAAACAAAAGCAAUGGAAAUGGCCUGUCUAUUCCAUGUAAACCUGCAAUUAAGGUGCACUUUACUCCUUACUAAAGCCAGAAUCCCAGAAUAAUCUUCCAGGUCUGUCAGUCAAACACACCACAUAAGAAUACGACCUACUAUGAUUCUUUCCCCCAUCAUACUGACAUUUCCAUUUUCAUCCCUGUGUCAUUUAUAUAAGCUGCAGACAACUGUGGUCAUGAAUUUUAAAGAGCUCAGGUCAUAUUAGGGUCUCUUUCCACUUGAUGAGAUUUUGAAAGAGGAGAAGGGCUGCGUACUUGAAAUUAGGACCAUAAAUAAAUAAUACACACACACCCCACAACCCCCCAACUUCAAAAUACAGAUCCUAUUUAUGUAUUCUUCCCCCAUUUAAAAAACACAGAAUCAUAUGGAAUGAUGAAAAAUUUUAUCAUUGGGUAAUGAUUUUUUCUUGAUGACGGGUACAGAAAAAGGAAGUUAUUUUCACCCUGAGAGACGGUGUAAAUACUUAAUUUUGAAACACAAUUAAAGAAUCCUCAGCAGUAAAUGCAUAUAUAUAUAUAUAUAUUAAUUUUUGACAUAGUUUAAAAAGAAUUUAUUCAAAUUCUCUGCUAAAAUACAUCACUGAAAUUCUAGAAAUGCAUUGCAUGCAAUAUAAGUACUACCAUCUCGCAGGACAUGUUACUUGCCUAAACUGCAUAUGCUUUUGGGACACUCAAAAAUGUUUUCAGUACUCAUCUGUGCCUAAAGCCAAAACCAUGUAAAGAAGAGCUGUCAAGAACUGUUUGUACUAAAUGAGAACACAGCAUAGAGAAAGAAUGGAUUAAAAAAUCAGAACAUGUAAGAGUUUUAACCUUCAGUUCAAUUUUUGAAUCUCAGAUCCAAUCCUAAAGGAUAACUUCAACUACAGCCCCCUACUUAUUCAUAAGAUCAGUCAUAUGCCUAGAAGACCACAUCUCUGAAGUACUACUGAAUAAUAAGCUUAGUAUUUAAAUAAAAUCACUUUGUUCACAUGCUACUUACAGCCUUCAUAAAUAUCUGUUGGUAUGUGGACUGCUGCAUGUUGGUAAGAUGUUUGCCGUCGGAAAACAGGAUCUUCUUCAAAUACUGGUCUGAUUCUCUGGC